UACGUAGGGGCAAGCGUUGUCCGGAUUUAUUGGGCGUAAAGAGCGUGUAGGCGGCCUGAAAGGUCAGCUGUGAAAACUCGAGGCUCAACCUCGAGACGUCGGUUGAAACCAUCUGGCUAGAGUCCGGAAGAGGAGUGUGGAAUUCCCGGUGUAGCGGUGAAAUGCGCAGAUAUCGGGAAAGAACACCCGUGGCGAAGGCGGCACUCUGGGACGGUACUGACGCUGAAGACGCGAAAAAGCGUGGGGGGGAAGCGAAA
rnacentral:rRNA from 1 species